CCUACGGGUGGCAGCAGUGAGGAAUAUUGGUCAAUGGGCGGAAGCCUGAACCAGCCAAGCAGCGUGCAGGAUGACGGCCCUACGGGUUGUAAACUGCUUUUAUACGGGAAUAACGCGCCUUACGUGUAGGGUUUUGCAUGUACCGUACGAAUAAGGACCGGCUAAUUCCGUGCCAGCAGCCGCGGUAAUACGGAAGGUCCGGGCGUUAUCCGGAUUUAUUGGGUUUAACGGGAGCGUAGGCGGGAUUUCAAGCUUGCUGUGAAAUGUCCGGGCUCAACCCGGGCCUUGCAGCGCGAACUGGCGUGCUAGAGUCCGCGGAAAGCAGGCGGAAUUCGUCGUGUAGCGGUGAAAUGCUUAGAUAUGACGAAGAACACCGAUUGCGAAGGCAGCUUGCUACAGCGGAACUGACGCUGAUGCUCGAAAGCGCGGGUAUCGAACAGGAUUAGAUACCCGAGUAGUC
rnacentral:rRNA from 1 species